ACUCUCGCGGCGUCCAGCCUGGGUCGCUGCCACUUCCGGACACACGCCCAAUACGGGGGACGCUGGAGCAGGGUCGGGGCCGAGGACAAGCAAGGCACAGCGCAGGCGGUCCCGCCUGGCUUCCCAGAGUCUUCAGGAUUCCCGAGUCACCGAGCCUCCGGCGUGCGCUCCAGGCCGUGCCUACAAACUGGCUUUCAAAGGAAGUUUGUGGUUUUUCUUUUUCUUCUCUCUGUCCCUCUUUUCCCCCUGUCCGGACAAAGACAAAUUAGCCAAGGACGCGGUCCCUAGAGGAGGAGGAGGAGGAGGGGCCUGCUCAGCUACCGAGGAUUUCCAUCAGGGCUGUCUGAGCCGGUCAGCAGCCCGGUGAGCCGCAGAAAGGAAGAGAGAAAAACAACAGACCCUUUCUCUUCCCUCCGCCUGCCGCUGGAAGGGACGGAGCGCGUGUGCCUCUCUGGUGAGAACCGGGAAAAGCAAGCGGCCUGGCAGAGCCCGGAGGAGCAGGGCGGGACAGCGGCUGUUGAUUAGACCUCCCUGGAUGCCCGCCGCAGCCCUCUGCUCUGGAGCCAAGAAAGCAGGGCGGAAGGGCGUUGUGUUUGCAUAUGUACUCGUUCAAUAAGAAAGAAAAUUCCCACUCCUGGUUUUCUGGAGCCCCUGAGCUCUUUCCCAAGGCUUCCCUUCUUCCCCGUAUGCUUUUUUUGAAAGGCUAGGAAUGAAACUGGUUCAGCUGUGUACCUGGUCGGGGGCGAGGAAGACGCUCUUCUGCCUCUUCUCACCUCCCCGAGAAGCAGGACGAUCUGGGGAUAGAUUAAAAAAUGAGGGAACAUGUUAUGAUGAAGGGACAUUUUCCCCCCAAGUAGUCUGCCCUGGGACACGCAAGUGGCAGUUAAGGGAUGUUGGAACCCAGCCUUAGGUUCUGAAGGCUCCUCUAAACUCUAUUGAUGUGACGGCCAAAGGAUAAGGCUUCAAGCAACUCGGAAAGCCGAGAGAACUGUUGCAACAGAGACCCAGGAAGCAAAGUCACGGUUGCAACAGCCCAUGAAUGAGGAGUAUUUGCUCAGGCUGUAGAAGAAAGGCUAUGAAGAAGGAGGAAGAGUUGGCACGACAGUAGGUUUUAAGAAAACAAGUCAAACAUUAUGGUAAUGUUUUCCUAUCGUGAACAAACACAUUGAUCACGAUUUGUCAGUUUGGUAAAGGGGAGAAUUUAAAAAAAAGAAAGAAAAAACACCUAACCAGGGAAGCUAUUUUAAUAAAUAAUAUGUACAGCAA
rnacentral:lncRNA from 1 species